GACGAACCGUGCGAACGUUAUUCGGAAUCACUGGGCUUAAAGCGCGUGUAGGCGGGCCGGCACGUCCGUGGCUGAAAUCCCCCGGCUCAACCGGGGAAGGGGCCCGGAUACGACCGGCCUGGAGGGGGGUAGGGGGCGCCGGAACUUCCGGUGGAGCGGUGAAAUGCGUUGAGAUCGGAAGGAACGCCCGUGGCGAAAGCGGGCGCCUGGACCCCGCCUGACGCUGAGACGCGAAAGCCAGGGGAGCGAACGGG
rnacentral:rRNA from 1 species